CUUCAACAGCCGUUACAACCAUUCCAAAAGUCUGGAAAGCAGCCUAUGUCACGCCUUUACAUAAAGGUGGAGAUCCGUCCCAGUUGGGCAGUUCACACCGAGGACAUGUUGCAGUUCACACCGAGAACAUGUUGCAGUUCACACCGAGGACAACUGGGACUCCUUCAUCUGAGCAGAACCUUGGAAGAAGAAACACUGCAGUGACCGCCAUGGAGACCUCUACACCUUUCUUAGCUGCCUACAAUACCUACAAGGGUGUCUGCAGGUUGUUAUAAAUACCUGCCCAAAUUAUUCUCCAGUCCAUAGAGAAAGUCUUCAACACAAUCCCAAGCUGCUUAAGACUCUGAGUAUACAGGACCCGUCUCCAAAAUCUAAUGGGGCUACUGGAAUCCAUAUAAAGCACGCCACAUAUAAUACAACCGGAAGGCUGCUGAAUCUGAAAUGCUUUAAAACAUGGCCAAGAAUAGACUGUAACUCCUCUGCCCACAUUUUGGAAGAUACUGGAUGGACAUCUAGAACAUGCAGUAAGGUGUCGGGGAAUCAGAUUAGACCAACAUUGAUUGGACAAUGAUUAUGAAAGAUAACAGAUAGAUUGAAUGGAUAUGCAGACCUUAUUAUAUGAUUAUCACAAGACAUGCUUCCACAUUGUUUUCUGCAUGUGGAGUUCUGAAUGCAUACAACAUUAUUUGUAUUUCUUUCAUUCAGCUAGUGUUUCUAACUUGCAUGAUUCAGUAGGUAAGACUUAAUUUAGAACACAAGUUUCCCUACUCCACAGACAAACAAGCCGUUUCAAAGGCAAAAUGCUAGCCCUGAGUCUCAGUGGAACUGAGCCGGUACCGAGAGACUGCACAUCUCACCUCAACCGUACAGACUGUAUUCACUCUGUCUGCUCAGAUGAAGUAAAUAACCUCUAAACUGUCUGGCUGGGUAGAAAAUGAAUUGUAUUCUUGGUUCAGCAUUAUUUCUUGUUAUAGUCAGUAUCGAAAUAUAAUUACAGUGGAACACCCACACAGUCUGACAUUUUAUUGUUACCUAACCCACCAUUACGAUGUGCCCUUUGCCGCCUUGGAAAAAACAACAGCAAAACACCACCUUUUGAAAUAAAGGCAGUAAAUAAUUGAAGUCACUAUAUCUGCACAUUUCCACUAAAUCUCUAGCAGCACCUAGAGGUCAUUGAGGCAUUACAUCACCUGCGUCACGCUGCCUUGGACCAGACAUGUGAAAUACAUGUGGUGUGUGAUAACAAUCAAGAUUUGUCUGGGACUAUGUGAGGUCAAGCACCCUUUAUAAUUGGCCUCUAACAAACUGGUGUAGAGAGAGCGUAUCCAUGUAAAGGGCGCAACCAGGAAAUGGUACAGUCAUAUUCUUUAGGCUAC
rnacentral:lncRNA from 1 species